rnacentral:rRNA from 1 species
UACGUAGGGUGCAAGCGUUUAUCCGGAAUUAUUGGGCGUAAAGAGCUCGUAGGCGGUUUGUCGCGUCUGCUGUGAAAACUGGAGGCUCAACCUCCAGCCUGCAGUGGGUACGGGCAGACUAGAGUGCGGUAGGGGAGAUUGGAAUUCCUGGUGUAGCGGUGGAAUGCGCAGAUAUCAGGGGGAACACCGAUGGCGAAGGCAGAGUCUCUGGGCCGUAAGCU